CUAAAUACUACCCAGUGACCGAUAGCGUAUAGUACUGUGAAGGAAAGGUGAAAAGGACCCCGGGAGGGGAGUGAAAAAGAACCUGAAACCUUGUGCCUACAAGCACAUAGAGCACAUCAACGUGUGAUAUGGUACUUUUUGUAGAACGGUCCGGCGAGCGAUUGUAUGUUGCGAGCUUAAGGUCUUAAGGACUGGAGGCGUAGCGAGAGCGAGUCUGAAGAGGGCGUUCAGUAACAUGCAAUGGGCCCGAAACCGGGUGACCUACCCAUGAUCAGGCUGAAGUGAAAGUAAAAUUUCAUGGAGGGCCGAACCGACCUCCGUUGAAAAGGCGGCGGAUGAAUUGUGGGUAGCGGAGAAAUUCCAAUCGAACUCGGAGAUAGCUGGUUCUCCCCGAAAUAGCUUUAGGGCUAGCGUCGGAUAUGUGUAGUGGAGGUAGAGCACUGAAUGGGCUAGGGGGCAUAUCGCUUACCGAACCUUAUCAAACUCCGAAUGCCAUAUACAUUAAGUCCGGCAGUCAGACUACGAAUGAUAAGAUCCGUGGUCAAAAGGGAAACAGCCCAGACCGUCAGCUAAGGUCCCAAAGUGUAAGUUAAGUGGAAAAGGAUGUGGGAUUUCUAAGACAACUAGGAUGUUGGCUUAGAAGCAGCCACUCAUUUAAAGAGUGCGUAAUAGCUCACUAGUCGAGAGAUCCUGCGCCGAAAAUGUACCGGGGCUAAACUUACCACCGAAGCUACGGAUUUGCAAGUAAUUGCAAGUGGUAGGGGAGCGUCGUAAUCGGGCUGAAGUCGUACCGGAAGGAGCGGUGGACUGAUUACGAGUGAGAAUGUUGGCAUUAGUAGCGAGAUGUAGGUGAGAAUCCUACAGGCCGAAUAUCUAAGGUUUCCUCAGGAAGGCUCGUCCGCUGAGGGUUAGUCGGGACCUAAGCCGAGGCCGAAAGGCGUAGGCGAUGGACAAUCGGUUGAUAUUCCGAUACCACUACCAUCGUUAUUAUCGAGGGUGUGACGGAGAAGGAUAGUGUGUGCUAGCGAUUGGAAAUGCUAGUCUAAGCGUUUAGGGAGUUACGGUAGGCAAAUCCGCUGUAACAAUUCUGAGGCGUGAUGGGGAAGGUCAUUAAGACCGAAGUACAUGAUUCCAUGCUUCCAAGAAAAGCAUCUAGAGAGAGAAGUAGUGCCCGUACCGCAAACCGACACAGGUAGAUGAGGAGAGAAUCCUAAGGCCGGCGGAAGAAUUGCAGUUAAGGAACUAGGCAAAUUGACCCCGUAAGUUCGCGAGAAGGGGUGCCUGCGAGAGCAGGCCGCAGAGAAUAGGCCCAAGCAACUGUUUAGCAAAAACACAGGUCUCUGCUAAAGCGUAAGCUGAUGUAUAGGGGCUGACGCCUGCCCGGUGCUGGAAGGUUAAGGGGAACACUUAGCGCAAGCGAAGGUGUGAACUUAAGCCCCAGUAAACGGCGGCCGUAACUAUAACGGUCCUAAGGUAGCGAAAUUCCUUGUCAGGUAAGUUCUGACCCGCACGAAUGGCGUAAUGACUUGGGCACUGUCUCAACUGCAAAUCCGGCGAAGUUGUAGUGCGAGUGAAGAUGCUCGCUACCCGCGAUUGGACGGAAAGACCCCGUAGAGCUUUACUGUAGCUUAGCAUUGAAUUCCGGUAUUGUCUGUACAGGAUAGGUGGGAGACUGGGAAACUAGGGCGUCAGCCUUAGUGGAGUCAACCUUGGGAUACCACCCUGACAGUACUGGGGUUCUAACAGGACGCCAUGAAGCUGGUGACUGGACAUUGUUAGGUGGGCAGUUUGACUGGGGCGGUCGCCUCCUAAAAAGUAACGGAGGCGCCCAAAGGUUCCCUCAGAACGGUCGGAAAUCGUUCGUAGAGUGCAAAGGCAGAAGGGAGCCUGACUGCGAGACCUACAAGUCGAGCAGGGACGAAAGUCGGGCUUAGUGAUCCGGUGGUACCUCGUGGGAGGGCCAUCGCUCAACGGAUAAAAGCUACCUCGGGGAUAACAGGCUGAUCUCCCCCAAGAGUCCACAUCGACGGGGAGGUUUGGCACCUCGAUGUCGGCUCAUCGCAUCCUGGGGCUGUAGUCGGUCCCAAGGGUUGGGCUGUUCGCCCAUUAAAGCGGUACGCGAGCUGGGUUCAGAACGUCGUGAGACAGUUCGGUCCCUAUCCGGCGUGGGCGUAGGAUAUUUGAGAGGAGCUGUCCUUAGUACGAGAGGACCGGGAUGGACUGACCUCUGGUGCACCAGUUGUUCUGCCAAGAGCAUGGCUGGGUAGCUAAGUCGGGAAGGGAUAAACGCUGAAAGCAUCUAAGCGUGAAGCCCCCCUCAAGAUGAGAUUUCCCAUAGCAUAAGCUAGUAAGACCCCUUGAAGAACACAAGGUUGAUAGGUCAGAGGUGGAAGUGCGGUAACGUAUGUAGCUGACUGAUACUAAUAGGUCGAGGGCUUGACCAA
rnacentral:rRNA from 1 species